rnacentral:rRNA from 1 species
UAUUUAAAUAAUUUUAAUUAAUUUAUUUUUUUUUAAUAAUAUUUUUUAUAAAAGUAAUUUAUUUGUGUAGGGUUUUAGUAUUUAGUAAAAAUUAAUUAUUAGUUUUAUAGUUUAAUAGUAUUGUGAAAGAAAUUAUUUAUAUUAAUGAAAGAAUUGUUAUUAGUACCUUUUGUAUCAGGGUUAAUUAAAAUUUUUAAUUUAUUUUAAUUUCUCAAAAUUUAUAGAGUUAAUUUUAUUAUUAAGUUAUUGUAUUAAAAAUAUUUAGAAAAUAAUUUUAGUUUUGAUAUUUAAUUCGUUAUAUUAUAUUUAGUUAUUUAAGAUUUAAAUUUAAUUUAAGAUUUUAAAAGUUAAGUUGAUUUUUUUUUAUUUAUAUUUUAAAUUUAUAUUAUUUUAGGGAUAAGCUUGAAAUUUUUAUAUAACAAUUAUUUAACUUAAUAAUUUAUAGGAAUAGAAAUUUUUAUUUAAAGUUUGUAAAAAUUUAUUAUUAAUUUUUAUUUAAUUUAUUAUAAUUUGUUUAUUUAUAGUAUUAAAUUUUAUAAUUUAAUUUUUUAUUUAUAGUAAUAAUGAUUAAAUUAGUAUAAUAUUGAUUUAUAUAUUAUGAAUUCAGCAAAAUUUAUUUUUAUCUGUUUAACAAAAACAUUGUAUUAAGUUUUAUUUAAUAUAGGAUCUGCUCAAUGAUUUAUUAAAUAGCUGCAGUAUUUUGACUGUGCAAAGGUAGCAUAGUAAUUAGUCUUUUAAUUGGGGACUUGUAUGAAAGAUUUGAUAAGAAAUAGGCUUUAUUAUUUAUAUAAUUAGAACUUUAUUUUUAAGUAAAAAAGCUUAAAUAUUUUAAAGGGACGAUAAGACCCUAUAAAACUUUAUAUUUAAUAUUCUUUAUUUUUUUUUGGAUUUAUGAUAUAAAUUUAAAUAUUAUUAAUUAUUUAAUUGGGGUGAUAAAAAAAAUUUUUAAACUUUUUUUAAAAUUUAACAUUAUUUAGUGAUAAUUUGAAUUAGAAUUUUUAAUUAAAGGAAAAAGUUACUUUAGGGAUAACAGCGUAAUUGAUUUUUUAAGUUCAAAUUUAAAAAUUAGU